rnacentral:lncRNA from 1 species
UACUGCUCGAGAAGAUAGCACCAAUUCCUUCGUCUGGCAUUUGAAUUGUGGUUCUGAUUUUCUUAACAUGGGUCUUUCAUGCAUAAAUCAAAUUUGUGUUCUGAGAUAUAUAUGUGUUAAAAUCUUAACAGGAAGCGCACAAGGUAGUGCGAGCAGCUCACUCAUCUCAUGGCAGAAACCAAUUGAACUUGUACCUGGGAAGAACAAAAUAGAUCUUCUAAGUGCAACAGUUGGGCUGUCGGUAAAUAACCUUCACUAUGGAAAACAUGAAAUAUGCCACUCCAUUUCCCAAUAUGUGACUUGCUGCAACAGAUUUUAUAACAUAAAAUUUACCCCCGCCUUCUCUGUUCGUACAGAAUUAUGGUGCAUUCUUCGACCUGGUAGGUGCUGGAAUUACUGGGCCAGUAAAGCUGAGUGGAACAAAUGGUGCACUCGAUCUGUCUUCUGCAGAAUGGACAUACCAGGUAGCCUAAACUCUACUUUGAGCUCCAUUUGACCAAAGAUGCAUCAUGAUUCACGUUUAUUAAUCAUACUUUGAUCAGAUUGGACUCAGAGGAGAAGAUCUGCACCUAUAUGAUCCUUCAGAAGCCUCACCAGAAUGGGUCUCAGCCAAUGCUUAUCCAAUCAAUCAACCACUGAUUUGGUACAAGGUCAGUAUGAAUGUAUGAUCAUCUGACCAUGUAACAAAUCCGUAUACGGCAUUUGAACACAGCCACUAUGGGCUUAAAAGACAAUAUAUAUACAUUCUAUUUGUUUGGCUAACCCAUUUUCCCUAUAAUUGCUGCCUUGGGUUGAUGUGCUAACUGCAAUUCUCCAAACACAGACCAAGUUCACGCCUCCUGCUGGUGAUGAUCCUGUUGCAAUUGACUUCACGGGAAUGGGUAAAGGCGAAGCAUGGGUGAACGGACAGAGCAUUGGUCGAUACUGGCCAACAAAUCUGGCUCCACAGAGUGGCUGUGUCAACUCGUGCAACUACAGAGGAAGCUACAAUUCAAACAAAUGCCUGAAGAAGUGUGGCCAGCCAUCACAGACUUUGUAAGGCUUCCAUAUAGCCCUGCCCCCCCCCCCCCACCCCCCUAAUGCUCUAUAAUAUUUAUAAUAUUUUCAUUAGUUCCUUUUGUUCCCUACAUGCAAAGGCAGUUCUAGUAUUUCGUCUAUGUCAAUUUUAUAUGUUCAGAUCUGUCUGUAACAUAUAGGUCUUAAUACCGAUUUACAUUUCUGAAGAUGUACGCCCUGCUAGAUUUUUAAGUACUGAAACUAUGGCACAUAAAGCAUGCAUUUUCAAAAUUGUAAUACUAGUGCACACUGUGACGCUGAGCACUUUAGCAGUGUGUUCUGAUAUUGCCCAACAAUAUAGCAACUACAGGAACUGAAGACUAUUGAUUAAUUGGAUUCUUACCUUGUUAAACAGGUACCAUGUUCCCCGUUCGUUUCUUCAACCAGGCAGCAAUGAUAUAGUCCUUUUCGAGCAAUUUGGUGGUGACCCAAGCAAGAUAUCCUUUGUGAUAAGGCAGACAGGAAGUGUGUGCGCACAAGUAUCAGAGGAACAUCCAGCCCAAAUUGAUAGUUGGAAUUCUUCUCAACAGACAAUGCAAAGAUAUGGACCUGAACUUCGCCUGGAAUGCCCAAAAGAUGGCCAGGUCAUCAGCAGCAUCAAGUUUGCAAGCUUUGGGACACCGAGCGGCACGUGUGGAAGCUACAGCCACGGCGAAUGCAGCAGCACUCAGGC